AUUGAACGCUGGCGGCAGGCCUAACACAUGCAAGUCGAACGAGUGGCGGACGGGUGAGUAAUGUCUGGGAAACUGCCCGAUGGCGGGGGAUAACUACUGGAAAAGGUAGCUAAUACCGCAUACCAUCGGAUGUGCCCAGAUGGGAUUAGCUAGUAGGGGGGGUAACGGCUAACCUAGGCGACGAUCCCUAGCUGGUCUGAGAGGAUGACCAGCCACACAGCAACUGAGACACGGUCCAGACUCCUACGGGAGGCAGCAGUGGGGAAUAUUGCACAAUGGGCGCAAGCCUGAUUCAGCCAGGCCGCGUGUAUGAAGAAGGCCUUCGGGUUGUAAAGUACUUUCAGCGAGGAGGCGUUACUCGCAGAAGAAGCACCGGCUAACUCCAUGCCAGCAGCCGCGGUAAUUC
rnacentral:rRNA from 1 species